GCCUCCUUCCGCGGCCCCGCUCCCUGCCACAGCCACAGCGCGGGUCCCACCGCACCGCAUCGCACCGCACCCUGUUUCCCCACCUACUAAUGAGCACGGUGGGCUCCUGCCCAUGGGCAAGGGGAGACCGGCUGUAGGAACAGCCUCUUAUGAAAGCAUUGGUUUCCCCCUUGCAUGCCCCCCCCCCACAGCACAGCGCAAACCCAGACAGGACCAGAUCUGCAACUAAUGUGACAGAAGAGAAAUUGAAAGAGCGAGUCAGUUCUACACACUAGCAUCUUGAGUCCUGAGAAAAAGC